AACAAAUUAUCUGCAUUAAUAGUUAAAUUUUGUAAAUCAAUGAUGAAACAUUGAAGAUAUGAGCAUAAACUACAUAGGAAUGACAUCUAGAAAAUGGAAUCCACUCUUCUUUUUCACUAGUACACACUUACAUGAAUCUUAACCAUAUUGUUAACCCCCAACUCUAACUGCAAUGACCAAUAUUUAUGACUACAAAAUAAACCUAAACAGGAACUGAACUCAAGCACCUUAGCUGUGUCAAUGAACUAAUUGGAUUAUGCGUAGAAUAGUAUUUGAAAAAUAAGAUCAAAAUGGCACAAGUAUGACUUUUUCAUCAACAAUUACUAGUGCCGUACACAGUCAAAUUCAGGGUAUAGGUAGUUAUAGAGAUUGAUGAGAAAAGUUGAAGGACUCUAGAUAGGCUCUCUUCGAUAAUAGAAGAGAGUUAGACAAAAUUAAAACAUUACUGUGUCUCCUUGGGCAGAGAUAAGAUGCAGUCUGCAGGGUUCACAACCCCACCUGACUCCCAUAAUCUCCAAGGAAUACCCAUCUUCCCAGCACCUCUGGCCCUUAGAUUGAAGUUCUAGAUCCACCACUGAUUGACCCCACA
rnacentral:misc_RNA from 1 species